rnacentral:rRNA from 1 species
UACGUAGGGUGCAAGCGUUGUCCGGAAUUAUUGGGCGUAAAGAGCUCGUAGGCGGCUUGUCGCGUCGGCUGUGAAAACCUGCAGCUCAACUACAGGCUUGCAUUCGAUACGGGCAGGCUCGAGUUCGGUAGGGGAGACUGGAAUUCCUGGUGUAGCGGUGAAAUGCGCAGAUAUCAGGAGGAACACCGGUGGCGAAGGCGGGUCUCUGGGCAGUAACUGACGCUGAGGAGCGAAAGCGUGGGGAGCGAACAGG